rnacentral:misc_RNA from 1 species
CGCACAUUGCGCCCCUUGGUAUUCCAUGGGGCAUGCCUGUUCGAGCGUCAUCUACACCCUCAAGCUCUGCUUGGUGUUGGGCGUCUGUCCCGCCUCUGCGCGUGGACUCGCCCCAAAUUCAUUGGCAGCGGUCUUUGCCUCCUCUCGCGCAGCACAUUGCGCUUCUCGAGGUGUCUGCGGGGGGGCGUGGCCCGCGUCCACGAAGCAACAUUACCGUCUUUGACCUCGGAUCAGGUAGGGAUACCCGCUGAACUUAA